GGAGGGAUGCAGUUCAGUGGCUGAGCAUCUAUUUUGCACGCAGAAGGCCGUAGGUUCAAUUCCUGGCAUCUCCA